UACGGAAGGCAGCAGCGGGGAAUAUUGGACAAUGGGCGAAAGCCUGAUCCAGCCAUGCCGCAUGAGUGAAGAAGGCCUUCGGGUUGUAAAGCUCUUUUAGUGAGAAAGAUAAUGACGGUACUCACAGAAGAAGUCCUGGCUAACUCCGUGCCAGCAGCCGCGGUAAUACGGAGAGGGCUAGCGUUAUUCGGAAUUAUUGGGCGUAAAGAGCGCGUAGGCUGAUUAGUAAGUUAAAAGUGAAAUCCCAAAGCUUAAACUUUGGAAUUGCUUUUUAAAAACUGCUAGUCUAGAGAUUGAAAGAGGAUAGAGGAAUUCCUAGUGUAGAGGUGAAAUUCGUAAAUAAUUAGGAGGAACACCAGUGGCGAAGGCGUCUAUCUGGUUCAAAUCUGACGCUGAGGCGCGAAAGGGCGUGGGGAGCAAAACAGGGAUUAGAUACC
rnacentral:rRNA from 1 species